GAUGAACGCUGGCGGCGUGCCUAAUACAUGCAAGUCGAGCGAACAGACGAGGAGCUUGCUCCUCUGACGUUAGCGGCGGACGGGUGAGUAACACGUGGAUAACCUACCUAUAAGACUGGGAUAACUUCGGGAAACCGGAGCUAAUACCGGAUAAUAUAUUGAACCGCAUGGUUCAAUAGUGAAAGACGGUUUUGCUGUCACUUAUAGAUGGAUCCGCGCCGCAUUAGCUAGUUGGUAAGGUAACGGCUUACCAAGGCGACGAUGCGUAGCCGACCUGAGAGGGAGAUCGGCCACACUGGAACUGAGACACGGUCCAGACUCCUACGGGAGGCAGCAGUAGGGAAUCUUCCGCAAUGGGCGAAAGCCUGACGGAGCAACGCCGCGUGAGUGAUGAAGGUCUUCGGAUCGUAAAACUCUGUUAUUAGGGAAGAACAAAUGUGUAAGUAACUAUGCACGUCUUGACGGUACCUAAUCAGAAAGCCACGGCUAACUACGUG
rnacentral:rRNA from 1 species